AGACUAAAAAAUGCGAGAACGACAAAGAAGAAGAGUGAGAGAGAACCCCAUAGCUUUUCUAUUCUUGAGCAUAAGAGGCACUUGUGUUAUGGGCAUCAAUGUAGAAACAAACAAGUGUAUUAACCAUGAGGUUGGUAGUCCUGCAAGAUCAGGAGGGUAACAUUGCCGUCUUGCUGAGAUAAUCGAUGGAGUGCUAUAAGAUCUUAUUUACUGCGCCCUUCUUCUUGAUAUCCACAAGAACAAUAAUUUCUUUCACGCAUUUGGUACAAAUACAAUCCACUAAUGUCUCUCAACUCGCCAUCGAAACCUCAUAUUAGAAAAAUAUUGGAGCACUUUUGGGUUUUCACUUCUUCACUGGCCGCUGAAGGUUACCAUCGCUAUCCAGUCUCACAUUAGCUAGCCUUUUUUUUAAACUUUAUUAUUCGUGUUGUAAAAGAGUUAUGUACUAUGGAUCUGUAUGAAAUUAUUCUUUCUCUUGUAAAAGAAUACCGUUACGUUUUGAGUAUAUCAAUAUUUUAAUUUAUCUUGAAUGA